CAGAAAUUCUAAAUGCCUCUGCUUCCUCCUUCCCCUACUGCCCUCCCUCCCAAGCUCCUCUCUGCUCCUCUGGACCCCAAUCAAUUGGGUCUCUGGGCAAAUGAAAUAUUCGAAAUGCAGAAAAUCUGGUGUCCAGUAGAAAACAACUGCAGCUAGAGGGCAAAGUGGAUAGAAGGCUGGACUUGGAGUCAAGGAAAUCUGAGUUCUAAUCCAUCCUCAGGUAUUUACUAGCCUUGCGACCCUGGGUGAGUCACUUACCCCUGCUGGCCUCAGUUUCCUCAUCUAUCAAAGAAAUGGCCAGUAUCUUUGUCAAAAAAACCUCAGAUGGGAUCACGAAGAUGGGACAUGACUGAAACAACUCAACAACAACAACAAUGACAUUGUGCACACCUUAGUCCAGAGAAGCCCAGAAGUAAGUCCAGGAUUCCCAGAACACUGGAUGUUUUUCCACUUGCUACAAGUGUCACAUUGUAGGCUUUGUCUUAUAGUCCCCUACUAAAAACAAUUGUGAAACAGGACUCUGAAGGCUCCUUGCCAGGAGAACAGGCCAGCCUGGCUGGGUGCAGGGAGCAAAGUUCCCCUCCCUUGCUAUCCCAGGGUGUCCCAGUUUGCUGAGCAAGAUGUUGCAGUAGCCCCUAGCUGAGCUCCAGAGCGGAGCUCAUGGGCUGACAGGUGAUUGACAAUUUUCUGGUUUCAAAUUAAACAGAAAACUAAAUUAGCAAAUUAAUUGUUUGACGCGUUUUCCUGGGCCUCUCAUCAGCUGCCACAGGACCCGUAGCCAAUGAAUGAAGGCCUCUUGCCUGGCUGGGAGAGGGGGUUGGGGGCUCGGCAUCAGCUCCUGCUAUCUACCAAGUGUCAGUCAUGUUAAUUUUAAAUUACUUUUGUACAGCUUGGUGUCAAAAUGAUUAAAGCAUGAAGAAGAAAACAGAACCCUAGCAGGGCUGGGCCAUCUCUGACUCUGGCCAUUCCCUCUUGGCCCCUCUCCCCCCCAGGAAUCAUGGAGGCCCCAAACCCUGUGCCCUUCACUGACCUGCCCAGGAUGGAGGGGUGGGGGCUGGGAGAGGGGAGCCAGGAUGGUCACCAUGGCUCCCUUUGCUGCUUCUGUAAUAAUUCAGGCCUCUGAUACUGCAGGGUUUGUAACAGAGCCCCUGAGAUG
rnacentral:lncRNA from 1 species